UACGUAGGGUCCGAGCGUUGUCCGGAAUUACUGGGCGUAAAGCGCGCGCAGGCGGCCCGCGAGGUGUCACGUGAAAGCCCCGGGCUCAACCCGGGAGGGUCGUGGCAAACCGGCGGGCUUGAGGCCGGUAGAGGUGGGUGGAACUCCUGGUGGAGUGGUGAAAUGCGUAGAGAUCAGGAAGAACACCCGUGGCGAAGGCGGCCCACUGGGCCGGUACUGACGCUGGAGGCGCGAAGGCGUGGGGAGCGAACGGG
rnacentral:rRNA from 1 species